ensembl:lncRNA
CCUGGGCGGGAGCGGCAGCGGGCUGUGGGCCUGCAGUGUGGCGGCCGCUGAGUAUGCCACAGGCCCCACGUCUCAUGGGUGGUGAAUGUGUGUGACCGAGAUAACCCACAGAAAUGACUCAGCUGCAAUGGAACCAUGACCCCACUGGAUCCGUAUCAGAACACCCGACUUCAGUUUCACCUGUGACAGUGGCCUCUCUGUAGCAGUUCUGCACUUGGUGGGGGAAAAAUUAACCCGGCCAUACCAGUUCAUCUGCAAGUCCUGCUGUGGUCCAAGGGAAGGAGAUGGCUGUGCAGAAGUCACCAAACUGCAUCUUCUGUCCAAGGAAGCAAACGGCAUGCGGCCCUCUCAGUAAGAAGGUGGCUGCCUCAUCCACCAUGCAAGAUACGUGUAUGUCUACUGCCCUUACUCAAGGUUUUGAAAGGUGCUGCGGAGGAAGACACAGUACUCUCAGCCUAAGUAGGCACGGUAAGCGAGUGAGACUGUCAGAUGGCCUCAGGGCUGGCCUAACUUUAUUCCUGUUGAAGUCAGCGAUAAAACUCCCAUAAACCGAGCUUUUUGAAAAUCCCACCCUCGGGGCACUAAGGUACUUAAAGGAAGAGGCUGGAAAUCGUGCAGGCUUUAGAUUCAAUUUGGAUCACUUUUUAUAUACUUCUUGCAGUGUUCCGAGCCACAGAACAGCGAUGAUAACGGGUUCCUCUAUUUCACUGUGUGGAAGCAUGGAGAACGGAUACUGUAACUCAUGCAGUAAAAUGCUGUCUGGCUGAAAGCACCAGUGCAUUUUGAAGAGGAAAGAGAAUCUUGCAGCAAAGGGCCAGGGCCGGCACCCAGGAGAUCUGGUUUUAUUUCUCAGUUCUGACAUGGGCUUCCUGUAUGACCUCAGCAGAGUCAUGUAAUUGCUUGGUGCCUCAGUCCAUCAUCUCCUUAAUAGGGUUACUACUUACUUAUUUCCUUUCUCCCGCCCUGGCCUGUCUUACUUAGGCUGCAAUUCUGGCAGGGAGUAGAGCAUUUCUGACCACGUGCGGGGCCUUCACCUAGCACAGUGAGGCAUAAUGGCAGUGCCUGUGCAGCAAUGCAGUGUCAAUUAAAUAAAUAAAUGAAGAUGAUAAUAUCAUUUCGGACUAGAACUUCAGCUUGUAACCCAGCCCAAGGUCAAAGCAUGGUAUGGAACCGUGCGACGUGGAACCUUGGGACCUGAGGAAAUGCUGCCCCCGAGCAUGGACAGGUUUGGGGAAGGCUUUGGUGUUGGUGACAGCCAGCAGCUGGCCUGCUUGGGCUCCUCGUGGUGGUUGAGGAAGCCUCAUCACUCACAGCCUUGCGUGGUCUUCGGUCGUAACUUUGAUCUAGAGAAUAAUUCUGUGUGGAAACGCUUCAGAAGCACACCUGCUUUAACCCGAGUCAACACGUUUUGUACUGAAUCCAGGCCGUGGCUGAGGUUGACAUAGAGCUGGGCAAGAGCUGAUAGGCGCACACUGCUACACGGUGCUUUGUAAGGACAUUCGUGUUGAGAGUGCUGUGUUCCCUGUUUGUGGGUCACCCCUUUACCCAACCUGUCAUUAGCGACAUCCUCAAGCCUCAGAGGCCCUUCUGUCAGGGGCGGAGAACACAGUGGGGUGAUGGCCUUCCCGUGGGCAUUGGCUGAGUGCUCUCCACCCUGCUGGCUGAGCGCAGUGCCAAAAGCAGGCCAGGUAAACUGGACUCCGGAGGUAAUACUGGCAAGAAUAACUUGCACGCACGUUUACAGCCCAGUUAGGAGGUGCGCUGUUGCUCCACUGCGACAAGCAGAGCUAUCUGCAGGUGGGAUUAGGCAGCAAGUCGGGCGAACGCGACAAAAACUUAAUGUAUGGAGUCGUGAAAUCACUCGCGUUGCUUAAAUCCAAGAGAACGCGCGAGAGAACGGGCAACAGCC